UGUUGUUUUGUGAGGUCAGUUAUGUUUGGUAAACCAACCAGAGGUUCAUGUGGAGACUCCAUUCUUGUUUGUGUUUUCAAAUUUCAGAACUGGGAUGUAGUGGAGACGGUUUCGAUUUCUAAUCGGUAAUGUGUGCAUCCACAUGUGCCCUAUCAAGCCCACGACUAGGGUUUGAGACUGAUCAGUCACCAUUUAUGCUAGACAUUUCACUAUUUAACCGUAAAUAAGUCAGGUAAACUGUGUAAACUGAAGCAUUUUUAGUUAGAUAUAAGCUCAAUUCUAUAAUAUUAAGUGUGUUGUUACUUAUGAGUUUCUUGAGGAUAUUUUACACUUUUUGGUAUGUUAGCAGGUAAAAAACUAGUUUGGAAGCUCAGGGAAUCAAACGUCAGAUGCGAAAUGGAGCCCGAGCAAGAAAACAGAAGAAAAAAUCAAAUUUUGGAGAACCUGCUGCCCAUACGCGUAUGGACCUGCCCAGUACGCGUAGCAUACGUAUAUGACCAGAGGGAUGGAAAAUCAAGCAAAAUAGCAAGCCUCUGGUGAUACGUGUAAGCCUCUGGUGAUACGCGUACCAGCCUGGGCAAUACGCGUACCAGCCUGGGCAAUACGCGUAUCAGAGGCUGUCUUACGUGCACUACGCGUUUGAGACUAGGCAGUACGCGUAUGAGACUGGGCAAUACGCGUAUGGAGCACAAAAUCAGGAAAAUUCCAACUGUAUACCUAUUUAGAGGGCAAAACACGAUUUUCCAGGGGUUGGACGAUUUUUAGAGAAAAAGAGACGCGUUUGAGACCUGGAGACUCCACGUUUAUCAGAGGAUUCAUAUGUUCAAGAGUUUUCCGACGAUUGAAGAUUGAUUCCUCACGAAAUUCUGUAAUGACAACAAUGUUAAUCUUUGUUUUUAUUUUGAUUAUGAGUAGCUAAACCCCUCAUUGCUAGGGGGGUGACCCUGAUUCUGAAUGUGACAGAUUUUAUGUUUAUGAGUGCAUUGACUAUUUCUUCUUUUC